rnacentral:rRNA from 1 species
CCGCGGUAAUACGGAGGAUCCAAGCGUUAUCCGGAUUUAUUGGGUUUAAAGGGUGCGUAGGCGGAAUAGUAAGUCAGUGGUGAAAGCCUGUCGCUUAACGACAGAACUGCCAUUGAUACUGCUAAUCUUGAGUAUAAUUGAAGUGGGCGGAAUGUGUCGUGUAGCGGUGAAAUGCUUAGAUAUGACACAGAACACCAAUUGCGAAGGCAGCUCACUAAACUAUAACUGACGCUGAGGCACGAAAGCGUGG